rnacentral:rRNA from 1 species
UGAACGCUGGCGGCGUGCCUAAUACAUGCAAGUCGAACGAGAACUAUCGGAUCUUCGGAACUGAGAAAUUCUAGUGGCGAACGGGUGAGUAACGCGUUGGUGACCUGCCCCGAAGAGGGGGAUAACAGUUCGAAAGGACUGCUAAUACCCCAUGAGCUCACGAGAGUUAGAGGUCUUGUGAGGAAAAGGAGAAAUCCGCUUUGGGAGGGGCCUGCGUCCCAUCAGCUAGUUGGUAGGGUAAAAGCCUACCAAGGCGAUGACGGGUAGGGGACCUGAGAGGGUGGCCCCCCACAAUGGAACUGAAACACGGUCCAUACACCUACGGGUGGCAGCAGUAGGGAAUAUUGCUUAAUGGACGAAAGUCUGAAGCAGCAACGCCGCGUGUGCGAUGAAGGCCUUCGGGUUGUAAAGCACUUUUUGUAGGGAUGAGGAAGGACAGUACCUGCAGAAUAAGCCUCGGCUAACUAC